CGGACCCAGCCCCCCUCCGCGGCUGGGCCUCGCCGGCCCCCCACCUUGCGACCAGCGCGCGUGGGCCAGGACAGGCGCAGUCGGUUGGCCAGCACCGCGGCGGUGAGCGUGGAGCCGUUGUUCCCGCCCCAGCCGACGAGCAUGACCCCGAGCCGGGGCACCUGCCGGGCGGUCCGGAAGGUGAAGCGCGUGGACGUGGGGUGCACCUGGGGGCAGGCGGUGUCGUGAGGCUGGGCCCCUGCCUCUUCUCCCCUCCAAGCAGGGAAGGGGUUGGAGAUGUUGGACAAUCCCCAUCCCCCCGUCGUCUCCCCAGUCCAAGGCUCCCUGGUCCCUCGCCCACCUUGAGGACACCGCCCUCCCGGCUAACGCGCGUCGUCCGGUACUCGUAUUGAGCCUCGAUGGCCUCGGGGCUGUAGACCACGUCCGGGCUCUCGACCAUGAACUGGGUGGCUGCCUCCAUCGCGGCGAGCUGGGGCCCGGGUUAGCAGAGGGUCAGCGGGGACCCCAGGUGAGCGGCCCAAGCCGGCCUGGGUCCCCAAGGAGACCCCAGCCGGCCCAAGACUUCACUCACCUUCGCGGAGUCAGAUCCGACAGCGGCGGCGGACAGCGCGGGCUCUGGGGCGCGCGGCCUCGGGAGAAAAGAGCCGCGGCCACGCCCCCCGCCACGCCCCCGCUGCGCCUGGUGGGGAGGGGCGCGGCAGCGCGGGGUAGGGGUUCGAGGCCCGACCUCCCAGAGCCACGGCGACGGUGGAGUCCGGGUCCGGCCGGAAGCGGCUGGGUCCCCACUGGGCAGCAUUGGUUCUCAAGGCAACCUCUGGGGCGCGCGGCCGUUUAUUCCCACUUUACAAAAGAGGAAGAUGAGGCUGCAAUUGAGCGCCAGACCCCAGCCACAAACUAGGGUCACCAGGAUGGAGACCCCCCCUGAGCUUCCAUGACUCAGGAAGGACGGCCGGGGACUGACUGCAGCCGCAGUGGUCUGGUCCAGGCAGGGCGGCAAGGCCCGAGGAGGCAGGUGCUGGCCCUGGGGUGUGGCGACGGGGACGCGAUCCUCAGGCAGAGCGGUGUGGCCAGGCCGUCUCUGAAGCAGGGUGUACCCUGGCCCGCCGGCCUGCCUGACCUCCCCUCCCGCGCCCCCGAGAUUCCUGUGUCGCCUCAGAACUCUGGCCAAGACAGCUGCCGCAGGGAGGCCAAGACCCGCAGCCAGGGAGCCCAGGACCCUUCCCUCCCCACGGCUGUUUUUCCUGUUUAAAAUAAACACCCCAGCCACGCAGUCCUCGGAGGGCCUGCGCCUGCGUUCUUCAGCUCCUCCCUGGAACAGUCCACGCCACCAGCGUCAGUGGCACGGGGACACCCACCCCGCGGUGCCAGCCCAGGAGUUGCAAAGCCACACACACCACUGGCUGCUGCUGCAUUUUUUCAGAGUUGAUUUUCAUUUGUGUUCCGGGUGGGGUCCUGCCUGUGGCCCAGGCUGGCUUUGCACUCCUGGGCUCAGACACCCCCUCAGCCUCCCGCGAGCUGGACCACAGCCACGGGCGACCUGCUGCUCUUUCAUCAGAAACAGGGUGAGUCCGGGUUUGUUUCCCCAAGCGCUUCUCCCCCUCUGCCCACCAGGUCCCCUCCUGCGGGAGGCCGUCACUCAGCAGCCCUGUCCACACCGGGGCCCUACGGUGCUUGUGCCAGCUCUGACUGCGCCCCCAUGCCAGUCCAGUCUGCCUCCACCUUCCGAGAGACGCCUGGGCCUGGGGCACCUGCAGAGCCCUCUGCCCCGGUCCUUGUUCUAGGACCGGGGACUGCCUCCCUGGGGCCACCGCAGACCCGGCUGUGACACACACACAAGCCAGCCAGGCAGCCAGGGGCUGCUGGGUUCAGUUCAGUGAAAUUUAUUGUAGGUUGGAAAUCAGCAUUCACGUGUUUAGUGUACAAAAAGGACACCAGAUGUUUUAAGAAAAUAUUAGGAGACUGAAGAUGCGGAUGCCUUUCAAUUGUAACAUUUUGGCAAAAGUGAAAAAUUCUUGUAAACACCAACUCCAUGGCUCAAAAGUUUUCCUCCACAGUACAACAUUAAAAGGAAAAAACAUAUCAAUAAGUUAGAGCAUAUUUCAUCAGCUAGAACUUGCGUCCAUCGAGCCCGAAACACAACACUUCCCCAGCUCCAUCCUCCUCCAGGGACGAACAAACAAAACACCGAGGCAGAUUCAACAGAGGCCCUUGAACUGGUUCCAGGUGGAGGGCGGGGGCCAGGCCGCCUAAGCAGGACUCCUGCCCGCCUGCCGCCCUUCCCACCCCUCCCACCCCAAAUGCAAAACAAAACAACAGCUAUUGAAACAUGAAGGAUCAGUUUCCUCAGAGAUGCAAGAACCCCAGGGGUCCCAAAAGAAAGAGACGCUGGGGCAGGGGUGGACACCAGCAGGCGCCUCCACAGGCACCAGUUCUUUGGAAGCCACUGGGAGACACCCCCGCGGUUUAGAAAAACAGACCAUCUGUGCUCGCCCUGCACUCUCCCUGCUCACUGCGGUGGGCGGCGCCCCAGCCCCAGCAUAACCGACCCUGGUCACGGCUGUGCCCACCACAUUCCCGAGUCAUGGCUUCGCUUGGCCCUGAAUGUGAACACUCGCCUCAGACCCCCCACACCCUGGAGGGGGCCCCCUACACACGCACGCGCACACACACAAAUAGUCCCCCAAUGCUUUGGGGGACACUAGGAGACUAGGCACAGCGACAAAGCAGCAGUUGGGGUACUGUGGAGCUUGUGCCCCAGAGAGGACAGACAGGGCGCUGUCCUUGGGAUCCUGCGGCUCUGUCCACAGGGCCCCAGCCCCUCCCUGAGUGCAAACCCCAGCGGUGGCCCUGCCCAGACAACCCCAGGACCCACAGGUGGAUGGAGGCCGAGCGAGGUCAGCAGCACGGAGACCGCACGGCCUCGACGGCGUGGAACCAAGAGCAGCUGUGAGGGGGAACCGAGGACCUUGGGACUGAGAUUGAACACCGUGCCAUCGCCGAGGCCUCCCAGCUGGUGGCAGGACAUGUCCGUGGCCUGACAGCUGAGGGCCUGAAAUAGCAGGGCAGGCCAGGGGCUCCAGGGCCACGCGGCCCCUCGGCUCGGAGCGGCUGUCGGGGUGCCGCUGGAGGUGAGCCUUGAGGGAGGCUGCGGAGCAGACCCUGUCCAGCGCCAGCCCCGGUGGCCCCGGCCCCGCCUCGGAGUCUCUCCUGGGAAGCCGACAGUGCUGUGCCUUGGGUGGCAUCUUAAUACUGCGGGACAGGACCCAGGGUAGCAUCUAGACCCUGGAUGUCCAAGGAGAGGGAG